AAUGAACGUUGGCGGCGUGGAUUAGGCAUGCAAGUCGAGCGAGAAGUUCCUUCGGGGACGGACAGCGGCGAAAGGGAGAGGAAUACGUAGAAAUCUACCCCUGAGACUGGGAUAGCGUCGGGAAACUGACAGUAAUACCAGAUAACGUCUUAGGACCAAAGGUGUGAUUCCGCUUGGGGAUGAGUCUACGCCCUAUUAGCUAGUUGGUGGGGUAAUGGCCUACCAAGGCGAUGAUGGGUAGCGGGUGUGAGAGCAUGAUCCGCCUCACUGGGACUGAGAACUGCCCAGACAUCUACGGAUGGCUGCAGUCGAGAAUCUUUGUCAAUGGACGAAAGUCUGAACAAGCGACGCCGCGUGCGGGAUGAAGGCCUUCGGGUUGUAAACCGCUGUCGUAGGGGAACAAAUGUACGGGGGUUCUCCCCUGUAUUUGAGUGAUCCUAGGAGGAAGGAGAGGCUAAGCUCGUGCCAGCAGCCGCCGCGG
rnacentral:rRNA from 1 species